rnacentral:rRNA from 1 species
CGCGUAGGCGGUCAUGCAAGUCAGGUGUGAAAUCCCCCAGGCUUAACCUGGGAACUGCGCUUGAAACUGCAUAGCUUGAGGCCGGGAGAGGAAAGUGGAAUUCCUGGUGUAGCGGUGAAAUGCGUAGAUAUCAGGAGGAACACCGGUGGCGAAGGCGGCUUUUCUGGACCGGUUCUGACGCUGAAGCGCGAAAGCGUGGGGAGCAAACG